GAGCAAGUGCGUCUUAUCAAUGGCGAAAUCUCUUGCAUUGAAGGUUGGCAAAAUCAAUCAUGUUGCGAUUCUCCGUGCCUUUCAAAUUUCCUAUCAUUUUGAUUACGGCCUCGAACAAGUCGCUACAUU
rnacentral:snoRNA from 1 species